GGGUUGUGAGGUUAAGCGACUAAGCGUACACGGUGGAUGCCCUGGCAGUCAGAGGCGAUGAAGGACGUGCUAAUCUGCGAUAAGCGUCGGUAAGGUGAUAUGAACCGUUAUAACCGGCGAUUUCCGAAUGGGGAAACCCAGUGUGUUUCGACACACUAUCAUUAACUGAAUCCAUAGGUUAAUGAGGCGAACCGGGGGAACUGAAACAUCUAAGUACCCCGAGGAAAAGAAAUCAACCGAGAUUCCCCCAGUAGCGGCGAGCGAACGGGGAGCAGCCCAGAGCCUGAAUCAGUAUGUGUGUUAGUGGAAGCGUCUGGAAAGGCGCGCGAUACAGGGUGACAGCCCCGUACACAAAAAUGCACAUGCUGUGAGCUCGAUGAGUAGGGCGGGACACGUGGUAUCCUGUCUGAAUAUGGGGGGACCAUCCUCCAAGGCUAAAUACUCCUGACUGACCGAUAGUGAACCAGUACCGUGAGGGAAAGGCGAAAAGAACCCCGGCGAGGGGAGUGAAAAAGAACCUGAAACCGUGUACGUACAAGCAGUGGGAGCACGCUUAGGCGUGUGACUGCGUACCUUUUGUAUAAUGGGUCAGCGACUUAUAUUCUGUAGCAAGGUUAACCGAAUAGGGGAGCCGAAGGGAAACCGAGUCUUAACUGGGCGUUAAGUUGCAGGGUAUAGACCCGAAACCCGGUGAUCUAGCCAUGGGCAGGUUGAAGGUUGGGUAACACUAACUGGAGGACCGAACCGACUAAUGUUGAAAAAUUAGCGGAUGACUUGUGGCUGGGGGUGAAAGGCCAAUCAAACCGGGAGAUAGCUGGUUCUCCCCGAAAGCUAUUUAGGUAGCGCCUCGUGAAUUCAUCUCCGGGGGUAGAGCACUGUUUCGGCAAGGGGGUCAUCCCGACUUACCAACCCGAUGCAAACUGCGAAUACCGGAGAAUGUUAUCACGGGAGACACACGGCGGGUGCUAACGUCCGUCGUGAAGAGGGAAACAACCCAGACCGCCAGCUAAGGUCCCAAAGUCAUGGUUAAGUGGGAAACGAUGUGGGAAGGCCCAGACAGCCAGGAUGUUGGCUUAGAAGCAGCCAUCAUUAAAGAAAGCGUAAUAGCUCACUGGUCGAGUCGGCCUGCGCGGAAGAUGUAACGGGGCUAAACCAUGCACCGAAGCUGCGGCAGCGACGCUGAUGCGUUGUUGGGUAGGGGAGCGUUCUGUAAGCCUGUGAAGGUGUGCUGUGAGGCAUGCUGGAGGUAUCAGAAGUGCGAAUGCUGACAUAAGUAACGAUAAAGCGGGUGAAAAGCCCGCUCGCCGGAAGACCAAGGGUUCCUGUCCAACGUUAAUCGGGGCAGGGUGAGUCGACCCCUAAGGCGAGGCCGAAAGGCGUAGUCGAUGGGAAACAGGUUAAUAUUCCUGUACUUGGUGUUACUGCGAAGGGGGGACGGAGAAGGCUAUGUUGGCCGGGCGACGGUUGUCCCGGUUUAAGCGUGUAGGCUGGUUUUCCAGGCAAAUCCGGAAAAUCAAGGCUGAGGCGUGAUGACGAGGCACUACGGUGCUGAAGCAACAAAUGCCCUGCUUCCAGGAAAAGCCUCUAAGCAUCAGGUAACAUCAAAUCGUACCCCAAACCGACACAGGUGGUCAGGUAGAGAAUACCAAGGCGCUUGAGAGAACUCGGGUGAAGGAACUAGGCAAAAUGGUGCCGUAACUUCGGGAGAAGGCACGCUGAUAUGUAGGUGAAGUCCCUCGCGGAUGGAGCUGAAAUCAGUCGAAGAUACCAGCUGGCUGCAACUGUUUAUUAAAAACACAGCACUGUGCAAACACGAAAGUGGACGUAUACGGUGUGACGCCUGCCCGGUGCCGGAAGGUUAAUUGAUGGGGUUAGCGCAAGCGAAGCUCUUGAUCGAAGCCCCGGUAAACGGCGGCCGUAACUAUAACGGUCCUAAGGUAGCGAAAUUCCUUGUCGGGUAAGUUCCGACCUGCACGAAUGGCGUAAUGAUGGCCAGGCUGUCUCCACCCGAGACUCAGUGAAAUUGAACUCGCUGUGAAGAUGCAGUGUACCCGCGGCAAGACGGAAAGACCCCGUGAACCUUUACUAUAGCUUGACACUGAACAUUGAGCCUUGAUGUGUAGGAUAGGUGGGAGGCUUUGAAGUGUGGACGCCAGUCUGCAUGGAGCCGACCUUGAAAUACCACCCUUUAAUGUUUGAUGUUCUAACGUUGACCCGUAAUCCGGGUUGCGGACAGUGUCUGGUGGGUAGUUUGACUGGGGCGGUCUCCUCCUAAAGAGUAACGGAGGAGCACGAAGGUUGGCUAAUCCUGGUCGGACAUCAGGAGGUUAGUGCAAUGGCAUAAGCCAGCUUGACUGCGAGCGUGACGGCGCGAGCAGGUGCGAAAGCAGGUCAUAGUGAUCCGGUGGUUCUGAAUGGAAGGGCCAUCGCUCAACGGAUAAAAGGUACUCCGGGGAUAACAGGCUGAUACCGCCCAAGAGUUCAUAUCGACGGCGGUGUUUGGCACCUCGAUGUCGGCUCAUCACAUCCUGGGGCUGAAGUAGGUCCCAAGGGUAUGGCUGUUCGCCAUUUAAAGUGGUACGCGAGCUGGGUUUAGAACGUCGUGAGACAGUUCGGUCCCUAUCUGCCGUGGGCGCUGGAGAACUGAGGGGGGCUGCUCCUAGUACGAGAGGACCGGAGUGGACGCAUCACUGGUGUUCGGGUUGUCAUGCCAAUGGCACUGCCCGGUAGCUAAAUGCGGAAGAGAUAAGUGCUGAAAGCAUCUAAGCACGAAACUUGCCCCGAGAUGAGUUCUCCCUGACUCCUUGAGAGUCCUGAAGGAACGUUGAAGACGACGACGUUGAUAGGCCGGGUGUGUAAGCGCAGCGAUGCGUUGAGCUAACCGGUACUAAUGAACCGUGAGGCUUAACCUUACAACGCCGAAGGUGUUU
rnacentral:rRNA from 1 species